rnacentral:rRNA from 1 species
CCGACGGUGAGAGACGAAAGCUGCGGGAGCAAACCGGAUUAGAUACCCGGGUAGUCCCAGCCGUAAACGAUGUGCGUUAGGUGUAUCGGUGACCACGAGUCACCGAGGUGCCGAAGAGAAAUCGUGAAACGUACCGCCUGGGAAGUACGGUCGCAAGGCUGAAACUUAAAGGAAUUGGCGGGGGAGCACCACAACAGGUGGAGCCUGCGGUUUAAUCGGACUCAACGCCGGGAAACUCACCAGAUAAGACAGCUGAAUGAUAGUCGGGCUGAAGACUCUACUUGACUAGCUGAGAGGAGGUGCAUGGCCGUCGUCAGUUCGUACUGUGAAGCAUCCUGUUAAGUC